rnacentral:rRNA from 1 species
CAACUCGACUGCAUGAAGCUGGAAUCGCUAGUAAUCGCGAAUCAGAAUGUCGCGGUGAAUACGUUCCCGGGUCUUGUACACACCGCCCGUCACACCAUGGGAGCCGACAACGCCCGAAGUCAGUGACCUAACCGAGAGGGAGGAGCUGCCGAAGGCGGGGUUGGUAACUGGGUGAAGUCGUAACAAGGUAAC